UACGAAGGGGGCUAGCGUUGCUCGGAAUCACUGGGCGUAAAGGGUGCGUAGGCGGGUCUUUAAGUCAGGGGUGAAAUCCUGGAGCUCAACUCCAGAACUGCCUUCGAUACUGGAGAGCUCGAGUCCGGGAGAGGUGAGUGGAACUGCGAGUGUAGAGGUGAAAUUCGUAGAUAUUCGUAAGAACACCAGUGGCGAAGGCGGCUUACUGGUCCGGUACUGACGGCUGAGGUGCGAAGCGUGGGGAGCAAACAGG
rnacentral:rRNA from 1 species